AUGGACCUGAGUUCCUUUGCCAUGCCGCUCCUCGAUGGAGACCUGGACAGCGAGAAGCACCCCUCCCGUAAGGUGGACAGCCCCCUCGGCUCGGGCAGCCCCUCCAGAGGGCUGUUCUCCAGAGGCCCCCCGGCCCGGCCGUCCAGCCCCGUGUCUGCUCCCGUGCGACCCAAGACCAGCCCGGGCUCCCCCAAAACCGUGUUCCCAUUCUCCUACCAGGAGUCCCCGCCCCGCUCGCCACGCCGUAUGAGCUUCAGUGGGAUCUUCCGGUCCUCGUCCAAAGAGUCUUCACCCAACUCCAACCCGUCUACCUCACCCGGGGGCAUCAGGUUCUUCUCCCGCGCCAGAAAAACCUCCAACGUCUCCUCUUCCCCGUCCACGCCCACCCAAGUGACCAAGCAGCACACGUUUCCGCUCGAGUCCUACAAGCAGGAGCCGGAGCGCCUGGAGAACCGCAUCUAUGCCUCCUCGCCGCCAGACACGGGCCAGCGCUUCUGCCUGGCCUUCCAGAGCCCAGCCCGGCCGCCGCUGGCCUCCCCGACGCACCACGCCACGCCCAGAACUAAGCUAAAUUGUACGGUGGUGGCAAGAGGUAGCAAAGCUUCAGCCAGCAGCCACCAGGACCAGAAGGGCUGCCAUCACCCCCUCGGCCUCGGCAGCAUCCACUCAAGGCAAAUGUUUGCCCUCCCUGUUUCUCAAGACAAAGCGUCCAUCCCAACACUCACAGGAAAGUGGCUGUAACCAUUUCUAAACAAGAAAGGGGUGCAAGGGAUGCUCUGGGAAACUGAAUGAAAUAAGCUCCAAGCCCAUUAAUGGUAUUAAAAAUCAACUGUUUACCCGGCGAGUUCAUUGAUUUACUGGUAAUGACCAAGUCCGUCAGAUUACCCCUCGGUGCCUACCGUGUGGCAGGCUCCAGCACGCUGAGAUGACGGAGGAGCCGUUCUUCCCCUUCAAAGACGUGGUGGGAUUUAGAGGAAAGAGCAAAGUAAUAAAUCCCGAUUCCGCAUGGUCGGAGCCGUGUAGGAACAGGUGGAUUAAGAGCCGCAGUGGGCAGAGGAGGAGGCAAGGGAAGGGGCUAGAUCAGCCAAGACUGCGGGUGAAGACUGAGCCAGACCCUGAAGGAGGCGGCGGGAAGCAGCCCCGGAGGGGGCGUCGGGGGGGAGGGGGCAGCGGGAGUCAGGAGCCGGGUGUGGUGGGGCUCAAGCGAGUCCACAGAGGGUGAGCCGCAGAAGGUGCUGCGGUUCGCGGUGUGACGCAAAUCCACGGCAAACUUCUUUUUAUCUUACCGGUUCAUUUUAGAUAUGCAUAAUGAUCGCCUUCAUCUUAGGCAGUUUGUACCGUAGAUGAUAAUCUUGCUUUUUCUUUUUCCCAUCCCCCUCCCCUCCCACACCCCUUCUUCCCUCCUUAUUUACAAAAGCAUCCUUUCCAUUUUUUUUUCUUUCUAGUCUCUUUUUUUCUUAUCCCUUUUUUCCUUUCCCCUUCCCCGCCUUUCCCCGCUUCUCGUUUGAAUAUAUUCUUCCUAUUUCACAAUAUCUAUUAUAUGUUAUGGUUCUUAUUUAUACUUUCAAUUUCCCACACCAGAGAAAUCAUGCAGUAUUUAAACUUGUGUGUCUAAUUUAUUUCACUUAAGAGGAUGGUCUCAAGAUGCAUCCAUUUAGCUAGAAAUGUCUCAAGCUAAUCUUUUUUAUGGCAGAGUAGUACUCCACUACAUAAAAAAAAAAAAAACCACCACAUCUUCUUUAUCCGUUCAUCAGUGGGUGGGCAUUUAGGCUCUUUUGAAGAUGGAGCCAUUACAACCUGCACCUCUGUAAACAUAGGUGUGCAUGUAUCACUGUGGUUUGAUGCUUUUAAUUCUUUCAGGAAGAUACCCAGAAGGGGAAUAGCUGGGUCAAAUGGGACCUCUAGUUUUAGUUUUCUGAGGAAUCUGCACACUGAUUUCCACAGUGGUUGUGGUUGCUCCAGUCUACACUCCCCCCAACAGUGGAUAAGGGAUCCUUUUCCCCCGACAGCCCCUCUGGCAUUUCUUUUUGGUUAAUUUCUUGAUAAUAGCCAUUCUUUCUGGGAUGAGAAGAAAUUUCAACAUUGUUUUAAUUUGCAUCUCUUGAAUAACCAGUGAUGUUGAACAUGUUUUCAUGUAUUUAUUUGCCAUUUCUACUUCUUCAUCUGAGAAAUGUCUAUUUAUUUCAGAUGCCCAUUUUUGGAUUGGGUCUUUGAAUUUGGAGGUCUGACUUUUUUUUUUAAGUUCUUAAUCUCGAUAUUAGUCCUUUAUGUGAGGAACAGCUGGCAAAAUUUUUUCCCACACUGUGGUUGUCUCUUCGCCCUGCUGGUGGUUUCUUUUGCUGUGCAAGUUUUUUAAUAAGAUGAGAUCCCAGUUGUUGACUCUUUGUGAUAGUUCCUGUGCAGCUGGUCUUUUGUUCUUAAAGUCUUUGCUUACACGAAUGUCUUCAAGAGUUCUACCUAUUCUAUCUCCCAGCAGAUAUAAUGUUUCUGUUUUAAAAUUUAGAUCUUUGGUCCAUUUCAAUUUUAGUUCAGUGCAUGGUCAAAGAUAUGGGUCUAGCUUUAAUCUUUGGCAUGUGGAAAGCCAGUUUUUCCAGCACAUUUUAUUAAAAAAGCUAUCUUUCUUCCAGUGAGGGUGUUUGGCUCCUUUGUCAAAAGUAAGGUAACUGAGUGUGUUUGGAGUUGUUUCUGCAUCUUCUCACCUGUUGCAUUGAUCCUCAGGUCUGGUUUUUUGUUUGUUUUGUUUUUUUCUAGUACCAUGCUGUUUUUAUCACAGUGGUUUUGUAAUAUGAUUGUAAGUCAGC
ensembl:lincRNA